rnacentral:misc_RNA from 1 species
GUUUUUACCCACUGUCUUUGCGAAAACAAGGAAGUGAAAAAGGCAUUCCCAUUGCUUUUAUGGGUUUCUGUUUCUGCAGAGUUUGAAUUGGUCAGAAUUUUGAGAGCAGCCAUUGAGUCUGUCUCGAAAGAAAGCUGUUAUUUGACGGAUCUGAAUGUAUUAAGGUACACUUUACAAGAAUUAUUACUCUCGGGAGAUAACUUUUUAGUGGUACUAGAUGAUUU